rnacentral:rRNA from 1 species
GAUGAACGCUGACAGAAUGCUUAACACAUGCAAGUCGAUGGGGAAGUGGUGCUUGCACCAUGGUAACCAUGGCGGACGGGUGAGUAACGCGUAAGGAACUUACCUGCGGGACCGGGAUAACAGCAGGAAACUGCUGACAAGACCGGAUAAGGUCAUUAAGCUGCAUAGCUUAGUGAUGAAAGGAGACGCCUGCGGAGAGCCUUGCGUCCUAUUAGCUAGUUGGAGGGGUAACGGCCCACCAAGGCGAAGAUAGGUAGCCGGCCUGAGAGGGUGGACGGCCACAAGGGGACUGAGAUACGGCCCUUACUCCUACGGGAGGCAGCAGUGGGGAAUAUUGGACAAUGGGGGCAACCCUGAUCCAGCAAUUCUGUGUGCACGAAGACGGUUUUCGGAUUGUAAAGUGCUUUCAGCAGGGAAGAAGGAAGUGACGGUACCUGCAGAAGAAGCGACGGCUAAAUACGUG